GAUGAACGCUGGCGGCGUGCCUAAUACAUGCAAGUCGAGCGAACAGACGAGGAGCUUGCUCCUCUGACGUUAGCGGCGGACGGGUGAGUAACACGUGGAUAACCUACCUAUAAGACUGGGAUAACUUCGGGAAACCGGAGCUAAUACCGGAUAAUAUAUUGAACAGCAUGGUUCAAUAGUGAAAGACGGUUUUGCUGUCACUUAUAGAUGGAUCCGCGCCGCAUUAGCUAGUUGGUAAGGUAACGGCUUACCAAGGCAACGAUGCGUAGCCGACCUGAGAGGGUGAUCGGCCACACUGGAACUGAGACACGGUCCAGACUCCUACGGGAGGCAGCAGUAGGGAAUCUUACGCAAUGGGCGAAAGCCUGACGGAGCAACGCCGCGUGAGUGAUGAAGGUCUUCGGAUCGUAAAACUCUGUUAUUAGGGAAGAACAAAUGUGUAAGUAACUAUGCACGUCUUGACGGUACCUAAUCAGAAAGCCACGGCUAACUACGUG
rnacentral:rRNA from 1 species